rnacentral:rRNA from 1 species
UGGGGAAUAUUGCACAAUGGGGGAAACCCUGAUGCAGCGACGCCGCGUGAGCGAGGAAGUAUUUCGGUAUGUAAAGCUCUGUCAGCAGGGAAGAAGAAUGACGGUACCUGAAGAAGAAGCACCGGCUAAAUACGUGCCAGCAGCCGCGGUAAUACGUAUGGUGCAAGCGUUAUCCGGAUUUACUGGGUGUAAAGGGAGCGCAGGCGGUUCUGCAAGUCUGAUGUGAAAGCCCGGGGCUCAACCGCGGGACUGCAUUGGAAACUGCGGGACUGGAGUGUCGGAGGGGUAAGCGGAAUUCCUGGU